rnacentral:lncRNA from 1 species
GAAAUAGGCCCUUGCUCCAAGUCCCAGUAACUCGGAAUGCGGAGCCGCUCGUCUCCCGUCUUUUUUAAGGUAGAAAUUGUUACCUAAUACAAGGUGAAAGGAGAGGAGGGAAGCAUUUUCUACCUAUUUAUUCUCAAUUAAAACUCAAACGCGGACUGGUCCAGACAGUUCGUCUUUUGCAGGAUGUGCCUGAUAGUUGACUCGAGCUUUUACUGUGCCUUGGUAACUGCGAUGGACCUGGGAACCUUGACAGAGUUCACAGCCCCUGGUUUUGUGAAAGAGCGUGCCUAGGCCUAAAGGGGUUGUCGGGGCUAAGCUGGAAGCAUUUCUACUGCCAGCUGAGACAGCCACCGCCGCGGAGGCACAGCCCUCCCCAGCAGCAAGCGGGCUUCCUCGGGAGACCGGGAGGCAGCCCGGCCAUGCUUAGUCAGUUCAGCCCUUUGUUAAAAUACCGGCCAGAGAGCCGCUCUCCCUAUCCUAACUUGCCUCUCUUCUCUCGCACCCCACGCGCUCCCCGACCCCCAAUAAGUUUGCUGAGGGCAGAGAAGGGGACGAAGUUUGAGCAGCAAUUCCAUCAUCUCAGACUCGCACGUGUACACCUUUAUCCUCAGGCACUUCCACUCCCUGCGCGCCUCGGUGAGCCAAGGCUACACCAGAGAGAGUGGGAACGUCUCGCAGCUCUUCGAACUUGUUGCCUCUACCACUCACGCAGUUUCCUAUUCUCCCAUGAACGGAACCCACCACUUAUUGAAAGGUCAUUAUUUAAAUCACUGCUUCAGAAUCACAUGCAUUUUUUUCAAAAUCCACAUGACCAGGCUCGCCCCAGGACGUUAUGAUUCAAUAGAUCUGCGAAACUGAAGCUGAGCCUGAAGGAAUUACAGAACUUGGAGUAAAUGCUUCUUCAAAAUACGAGUUUUGGUCGGGCGCGGUGGCUCACCCCUGUAAUCCCAGCACUUUGGGAGGCCAAGGCGGGCGGAUCACGAGGUCAGGAGGUAGAGACCAUCCUGGCCAACAUGGUGAAACCCGUCUCUACUAAAAAUAGAAAAAUUAGCUGGGCGUGGUGGCGCGUGCCUGUAAUCCCAGCUACUCGGGAGGCUGACACAGAAUCACUUGAACCAGGGAGUCGGAGGUUGCAGUGAGCCGAGAUCGUGCCACUGCACUCCAGCCUGGCGACAGAGCUGGACUCCGUCUCAAAAAGAAGUUUUUUCUCUUUAAAAAUAAAAAAGCGGGGAGGGGGGCAUUAAAAUUAGAAAGAUUGUGUUCAAGUUUCUUUUGUUUUUUUUUAAGUAUUAACCUAAGAAUAUUAAGGCCGGUCGCGGUGGCUCACGCCUGUAAUCCCAGCACUUUGGGAGGCCGAGGCGGGUGAAUCACCUGAGGUCAGGAGUUUGAGAACAGCCUCACCAACAUGGUGAAACCCCAUCUCUACUAAAAAUACAAAAAUUAGCUGGGCUUGGUGUCAGGAUCCUGUAAUCCCAGCUACUUGGGAGGCUGAGGCAGGAGAAUCGCUUAAACCCAGGAGUUGGAGGUUGCAGUGAGCCAAGAUCGCGCCAUUGCACUUCAGUCUGGGCAGCAAGAGCGAAACUCCGUCUCAAAAAAAGAAAAAGAAUAUUAAGAUGUUAGAGUUUUUAUUAAUUUUUUUCAAAGUAGGCCAGGCGCGAUGGUGGGCUCCUGUAAUCUCAGCUACUCAGGAGGCUGAGGCAGUAGAAUUGCUUCAACCCAGGAGGCAGAGGUUGCAGUGAGCUGAGAUCACGCCAUUGCACUCCAGCCUGGACAACGGAGCAAGACUCUCCCACCAAAAAAAAAAAAAAAAGUAUUAAACAUGUUUCUUAGAAUACAUUUAAGCUUCCAAGUGAUCAAAUUAAGUAAACCUUUUCACAAGUCAAAAUGUACUAUUAAAAAACAAAGUUUGGGGCCGGGUGCAGUGGCUCACGCCUGUAAUCCCAGCAUUUUGGGAGGCCGAGGCGGGCGGAUCAUGAGGUCAGGAGUUCGAGACCAGCCUGACCAACAUGGCGAAACCCCCGUCUCUACUAAAUAUACAAAAAUUAGCCGGGCCUGGUGGCAAGUGCCUGUAAUCCCAGCUACUCGGGAGGCUGAGGCAGGAGAAAUUGCUUGAACCUGGGAGGCGGAGGUUGCAGUGAGCUGAGAUCGCGCCAUCACACUCCAGCCUGGGCAACAGAGGGAGACUCUGUCUCAAAAAAAAAGAACAAAGUUUGAAAAUCUAAUCCUAUUUUUAGGAUGAGUCUUUGAUACCAGUCCAUGAGGAAAGGCUUAUUUGUGAAUAAAAUCAAAGGAAAACAAACUCAUAGGAAAGUCUUUAUAAUUAUUAUAAACAAACCUGGAGGUCCAGGUGUCGUGGCUCAAGAUUGUAAUCCUAGCACUUUGGGAGGUUGAGGCGAGAGGAUGGCUUGAGGCCAGGGGUUGGAGACCAGCCUGGGCAACAUGAUGAGAUGCAGUGUCUACAAAAAUAAUUUUUAAGAAUUAGCUGGACAUGGUCGUGCUGGCCUGUAAUCCCAACUACUGAGGAGGCUGAGGCAGGAGGAUUGCUUGAGCCCAGAAGUUAGGCGGCAAUGAGCUAUGAUCACGCCACUUCACUCCAGCGUGGGCAACAGAGCAAGAAAGACUCUGUCUCUAAAAUAAAAUAAUAAAUAGGCCGGGCAUGGUGGCUCAUGCCUGUAAUCCCAGCACUUUGGGGAGCCAAGGCUGGCAGAUCACCUGAGGUCAGGAGUUAAGGACCAGCCUGAUCAACAUGGAGAAACCCCGUCUCUACUCAAAAUACAAAAUUAGCUGGGUGUGGUGGCACAUGUCUGUGAUCCCAGCAACUCGGGAGGCUGAGGCAGGAGAAUCUCUUGAACCUGGGAGGCGCAGGUUGCCGUGAGCCGAGAUUGCGCCAUUGCACUCUGGCCUAGGCAACAAGAGUGAAACUUCGUCUCAAAAUAAAAGAAAAUAAACCUACAGUUUAUACGUGAAUUAUAGUGUAUCAGUUAAUCCUCCUCCCUCCUGAUUUAUAAGUCCAAAAGUUUUGAACUGGUUGUUUCAGAAAACAAUGCUUUUACUAUUUCAUCAGUUGCUUAAAAGGAAUGUUUUGAUGUAGAAGUUAGAACUUUUUCGUAGAGCUUUUCAUUUUUCUUAAAGCGUCAGUUUACCUUUCUUGUAUAUCAUUAAUCAAACGAAACUCAUGCCUUCAUCUCAUCUGUAGCACACCAGAGUAAUAGUAUCUGUGUUCUCCAAGCUGUUCUCUCCAGAAACCACGUUUCUACGUGUGUGCAAAGUUGUAUUACUGGGAUUUCCCCUGAAUGCACUUCUGGAUUCCACUGUUUCGUGUUAUUUGGUUGGGUGUUUUGUCUUAAUAAGACAUAGUUCUUUUUCUUUUUUUUCAUAG